GACGAGAGAUGAUGCAGAUAAUCAUAUCCUAAACACCGAAAAGUUAUGUGGACUACAACUCCGUUUAUUAUUUGAUGCCAUU